GUGCACAGUGAACACCUGAGGAUGCUGACGUAGCUCUCCUUGGUCUUUCCUCUGUGCCACAAUAAGUCUGAUCUGUACCUCUGCAUUUGGAGAGCUCACUCCUCCCCAACAUGUAUUCAACAUAUCAGAACAGUG